GAGACAGGCAGGAUUUCAAAGUGGCACAGGAGACGUUUGGGAGUUUUGCAUAUGCACCAGCAAGGCUCUUGGAUCAAGCCCUACAGCAGAAAGCAAGCAGUAUGUGGUGCCGUGGAAGCAAGAUGCUAAGAAAAUACACCUGCGAACAGUGAUGUAUCAAUGGCUGGAGCGAGACAGGAGAGGAGGAACAGGAGGAGGAGAGUGAGAGAAACUGAUUGCCAACCUUAGUCCAGUGAAAACUUUGCUCCGAUAAUAUUUCCUUGGCCUGACCAAUCCAGAUCAACAAUCCUCUUCUUUGGUGAUUGAAUAAGGGAAGAAGCUCUGCUGGGUGACCUUGAACACAUCACUUCACUUCCUUGAGCUUCAAUAUACCUGCCAUCAAAUGGGAACAAUCAUGUUUACCUCCCUGAAUAGUCAAGAGGAUUAAAUUAAAUAGUGAGUGAGCCAAGAUGGGACCAUCUCCAAACCAUCCUGUCAGUCUGGGGUGCUGUGCAGGGGUCCGAGGAUCUGCCACCCCCAUCCUGUUAUCUGUUCCCAUUUGCCUGACCCACGUCCUCCCCCAGUCCAAUCUUCCCCAGCGAAACCAGAACUGUCAGCUUCUCGACAACCAUUUAUCAGACACGAGGAAAUAACAGCUUUUAACCACGCUUGAAGACUGUGAUCAAAUUCCGAACCAUUUCCAGAAGUGCCCCUUGGGGCCCAGGGGGAGACGUGGUUUCCAUGAUAACAAACUCUUUGCUGUCUCCCGUCUCCAGCCUCUGGGAAGAGAAGCAGAUCUUACCUCCCUACGGUGCUAGAGGAAAUUUAACUACAAAAGCUGGCAGAGAUGACAUAUGCAGAAACAACAGCAUCACCUUGAUGGGGACCUGUAAUCAAAUGUGCUGUCCAUGACGGCAGCUAUAAUGGAGAGUCUUGCGGCACCCUUCCCUCCAGACACGUCUUCUGGGUUUGCCUGGGCCGACGUCCAAAAUGGAGAGAUGGGGGAGCUAUGACUGGAAGAAAGACUCAAGUUCUUUCCCGACAGGAUUGUAGCCUCUCCUUCACAUGAUCUUGGGGCUUAAGUACUUUCCUGAGAAUUAUUAAAAAACUAAGUAGACAAAAGAGAAAACAGAAAAUGAAACUAGGAAAGGCUGGGGAGGUAGGGAAGAGGCUUCCUUCAUUUAAAAAAGAUAACACAUGCAAAUUACUUAGAGGCUCUGAUAUCAAGAAAGCACUCCAUAUUUGUGAUAUUUAUUAUCCUCUGAUUGGCUGUGCCUCAGAGGCUACAGUGAUAACCGUGGCAAACUUCUACUGAGUUCUUAAUUUAUGUUCAUGAUCAUUUUUAAUUCUCAUAACAGUCUUACCUGGGCAUUGUUAUGGCUGUCUCAGAGAUAAACUGAGGCUCAGACUGGUUAAGCUUGCUGAGGUCACACAGCCUAUUAGUAGCAGAAUUUGAUCCCAAACUCCAGUCUGUCUAAUUCCAAAGUCCACGAUCCUAUCUACCACAUUACACUGUAUGUCCUUAUUAUAGUCUGAGUAGAAUCAGUGUUAAGUCUGUAGGGAAGUGUAGAAGAGUCUGUGAACUUCUAAAGUCAAUGGAUAUAUCUACCUUAUCUGUCAUUUUAUCUCCCAUGCCUAGUGUAGCACCAGAAACAUAGUAGGUGAUAAAUAAAUAUUCAUGGGAUUAAUGAAAGAGCAAUGAUUAAUUCAAAUAGAUGUAUUUUUAUCAGUGGGCUUUCAGGCAGGGUAAAGAGAUGUGUUUGUAUUGUAAUUGUCUGUUUAAUAGUCUUUCUCUGCCUCUUAAUUGUGAACACCUGUUUCUGUGAUGGUGUCUGAAUUCAUUUGUUAGGGCUGCCAUAACAGAAUAUCACAGAUUGGGUGACUUAAACAACACAAAUCUAUUUUCUCACAGUUUUGGAGGCUGGAAGUCUGAGAUCAAGGUAACAGCAGUUUCAUUUCUUCUGAGACCUUUCUCAGAAGUAAAAUACUUACCUUGUAAGAUGGUGGUAAGUGCUAAAGAGAGAGAGAAAAAAAGCAGAUAUCUUUGGUAGAAACAUGUUUCAAAUUUGAAUGUAAGAUGAUGUUAUCCAAACAUGGGUCCCUGUCCAGUGAUGAGAUCUUGGAGGAAGGCCUCCGACUAUGGUGAACCGUAACACUCCAGAUCUACCCAUACAUACACCCGCUCAUCCACUCAUCUGUCUACCUAUCAUCUAUCCAUCAUCGAUCCAUCCAUCUAUCCCCUCAUCCACCCAUCUAUUCACCCAUCCAAGUAUUUUACUCCUUGGCUGGAGACAGCCAUCUUCUCACUGUGUGCUCCCAUGGUUGUCUCUCUGCACUUGAAUGUAUCUGAUGUCUCUGUCUGUGUCCUAAUCUUCUCUUCUUAUAAGGACACCAGUCAUUAUGAAUUAAGGCCCACCCUAAUGACCCCAACUUUAACUUAAUUUCUCUUUAAAGACCCUGUCUCCAAACAUAGUUACAUUCUGAGGUACUGUCGGUUAGGGCUUUUAAAUUGGAGUUAGGGGAAUAGAGUAUAUAAAUCAUCCUGUAACAAUAUCUGUUUUGUUCACUUUCGUAGUCCUAGAACUUCACAGAGGGCCAAGUGCACACAGUUGGAUAAGUAGGUUUAAUUAAUGAAUGAAGGAAAGAAUAGAAGACGGAAGAAUGGAUGGGGGAAGGACAGGUGUCAUUUGCAUGGAUGAAUUGAUGGGUGGAUCGAUGAUGGAUAGAUGACAGGUAGGCAGAUGGGUGGAUGGGUGGGAGUAUGUAUGGAUAAAUCUGGAGUGUGAUGGUUCACCGUAGUUGGAGGCCUCCCUCCAAGAUCUCACCAAUGGGCAAGGACCCGUGCUUGUAUAACACCAUCUUACAUUCAAAUUUGAAAUAUGUUUCUACCAAAAUGGACUAAAUCUAAGUAUCUAGGCGCAGGACCCUUGAUAGUCCUUCCCCAGAAUAUUCUAAAUUACAUGGUUCUCUAAUCAACUCUGAAAACUGUGUAAAACACUGGGGAACCUGAGGUCAUAACUGCUUGAGAAUUUAGUCGUCUUCUGUCUUUAUUUCUUGCAAACAGCCACCUGGUAACUUUCCCUCUAUUUGUCUUAGAAGGAUUUGAUUUCCUCUCAUAGACAUGUACAAACUGUGUCACAUGGAGACCUUUUCUGAUUACUAACAGUGGAGUGGGAAAGGGAGUUGAGCCCCCACAGAUUUUGAGAAAGUCCACAUCCUUUGGUGUUUCUGUUACAAGGUCUCAAGUGUGGGAGCUGUUACCUUAUAACAGAAGUGGACAGGAGACCAGGUUCUCAGGGCAAAGGUUGCAGAUCCAAGGACAAAGGACCCAGGGACCAGCUGAUUUAUUUCUUUGCUUUUAUUCACACAUUCCCUCUCUUCCCCACCCCCUACCCAUGGGUUUACAAUGUGGAUGGUUGUGGUAUUACGUUCGGAAGAGGUUAGGGAAUCUUUCACUGGGGAAAUAGCACCUUUUCUUCUUUGUUAUCUUAGACAUGUUUGGAAACUGACUAGGAGCUCUUAUUUCCCUUCUUUCUCCUCUUCCUCUGUCUCUUCUUUUUCUGUCUCCUCUUCCUUCAUCUCCUCCUUCUCCUUCCAACAACUACCAUAUAUUGAGCACUCAGCAUAGGCCUGCCU
rnacentral:lncRNA from 10 species